GACGAACGCUGGCGGCGUGCUUAACACAUGCAAGUCGAACGGUAAGGCCCUUCGGGGUACACGAGUGGCGAACGGGUGAGUAACACGUGGGUAAUCUGCCCUGCACAUCGGGAUAAGCCUGGGAAACUGGGUCUAAUACCGAAUAGGACCACAGAACACAUGUCCUGUGGUGGAAAGCUUUUGCGGUGUGGGAUGGGCCCGCGGCCUAUCAGCUUGUUGGUGGGGUGAUGGCCCACCAAGGCGACGACGGGUAGCCGGCCUGAGAGGGUGUCCGGCCACACUGGGACUGAGAUACGGCCCAGACUCCUACGGGAGGCAGCAGUGGGGAAUAUUGCACAAUGGGCGAAAGCCUGAUGCAGCGACGCCGCGUGGGGGAUGACGGCCUUCGGGUUGUAAACCUCUUUCACCAUCGACGAAGGUUCGGGUUUUCUCGGAUUGACGGUAGGUGGAGAAGAAGCACCGGCCAACUACGUGCCAGCAGCCGCGGUAAUACGUAGGGUGCGAGCGUUGUCCGGAAUUACUGGGCGUAAAGAGCUCGUAGGUGGUUUGUCGCGUUGUUCGUGAAAUCUCACGGCUUAACUGUGAGCGUGCGGGCGAUACGGGCAGACUUGAGUACUGCAGGGGAGACUGGAAUUCCUGGUGUAGCGGUGGAAUGCGCAGAUAUCAGGAGGAACACCGGUGGCGAAGGCGGGUCUCUGGGCAGUAACUGACGCUGAGGAGCGAAAGCGUGGGGAGCGAACAGGAUUAGAUACCCUGGUAGUCCACGCCGUAAACGGUGGGUACUAGGUGUGGGUUUCCUUCCUUGGGAUCCGUGCCGUAGCUAACGCAUUAAGUACCCCGCCUGGGGAGUACGGCCGCAAGGCUAAAACUCAAAGAAAUUGACGGGGGCCCGCACAAGCGGCGGAGCAUGUGGAUUAAUUCGAUGCAACGCGAAGAACCUUACCUGGGUUUGACAUGCACAGGACGCCGGCAGAGAUGUCGGUUCCCUUGUGGCCUGUGUGCAGGUGGUGCAUGGCUGUCGUCAGCUCGUGUCGUGAGAUGUUGGGUUAAGUCCCGCAACGAGCGCAACCCUUGUCUCAUGUUGCCAGCGGGUAAUGCCGGGGACUCGUGAGAGACUGCCGGGGUCAACUCGGAGGAAGGUGGGGAUGACGUCAAGUCAUCAUGCCCCUUAUGUCCAGGGCUUCACACAUGCUACAAUGGCCGGUACAAAGGGCUGCGAUGCCGCGAGGUUAAGCGAAUCCUUUUAAAGCCGGUCUCAGUUCGGAUCGGGGUCUGCAACUCGACCCCGUGAAGUCGGAGUCGCUAGUAAUCGCAGAUCAGCAACGCUGCGGUGAAUACGUUCCCGGGCCUUGUACACACCGCCCGUCACGUCAUGAAAGUCGGUAACACCCGAAGCCAGUGGCCUAACCCUUUGGGAGGGAGCUGUCGAAGGUGGGAUCGGCGAUUGGGACG
rnacentral:rRNA from 1 species